GCGACAUUGCAAGGCGAGCGGCAACCGCUGCAGCGGGCUCUCUGCGCCAAGAGGUGUGUGCGCGGUUCUUGCGUCCGUAUCCGCUAGUUGGGGGGUCUUCGACCAUUCAUUCAUUUGGCGGCGAUGGAUCGAGCGAGAACUCUGGCCGCAUCGUUGACGCCGUUCGCCCGGGCCCUGCUGUCCGAGAGGUGCGGUGCCGCGCGUCUGGCAAGCACCGGCCGCUUCGGCAUUCACCUGCUCAAGGUGCCCGCGCGGGGCUAUGUGACCCGCGCUGCAGCCGAGCCGUUCCUCAACGGCAGCUCGUCAGUGUACGUCGAGGAGAUGUACCGAGCCUGGACCAAGGACCCAAACUCCGUGCACAAGUCAUGGGAUGUCUUUUUCCGGGCUGCUGCGGCGGGGUAUGGCCCAGGCGAGGCAUACAGCUCUCCCCCUGCCCUGGCUUCAGCCAUGUCAACAAUGGCCGUGCCUCGGGUAGCUCCUGCAACAACGCCAGCACCCGGCCCGUCCAAACUUCCAAGCACACAGGCGGCACCGAGGGACAUCGAUGAUCACCUUUCAGUUCAAGCGAUCAUUCGGUCCUACCAGGUGAGGGGACACCUGGCUGCCUCGCUCGACCCUCUUGGAAUCGUCAACCCCAGCUCAAACUCGCCCCUAAAUCGAGAGCAGCUGCAUUCGCCCGAGGUGGUGCUUCGAAAUUACAAGCUAGAGGAGAAAGACAUGGAUCGCCUGUUCAAGCUUCCUGCAACCACAUUCAUUGGCGGCGAGGAGAGCACCCUGCCGCUGCGGGAGAUACUGCGGCGACUAGAGAAUGUGUACUGCACGAGUAUUGGCGUGGAAUACAUGUUCAUCAAUGACCUGGACCAGUGCAACUGGAUCAGGGAGAAGUUUGAGUCGCCCGGUGUCAUGCGGCUCAGCAAGGAUCGCAAGCGCCUGCUGCUGUCGCGCGUUGUUCGGUCCACCAAAUUUGAAGAGUUCCUGGCCAAAAAGUGGGUUUCAGAGAAGCGGUUCGGAUUGGAAGGUUGUGAGGUGCUCAUCCCUGCCAUGAAAACCAUCAUUGACCGAUCGAGUGAGCUCGGCAUUGAAAGUAUUGUCAUGGGUAUGCCUCAUCGGGGUCGUCUGAAUGUCCUGGCAAAUGUUUGCCGCAAACCUCUUGAACAGAUCUUCACCCAAUUCAGCGGACUGGAGCCUGCCGAUGAGGGCUCUGGGGAUGUGAAGUACCACCUUGGAAUGAGCCACGAGCGUUUGAACCGAGUGUCAAACCGAAACAUCAAGCUUGCUGUUUGUGCCAAUCCUUCGCAUCUGGAAGGUGUGGAUCCAGUGGUCCAAGGCAAGACUCGUGCUGAGCAGUUUUAUCGAGGCGACACUCAAGGCAAGAAGGUGAUGAGCAUCCUUUUACAUGGAGAUGCAGCCUUUGCUGGCCAGGGAGUGGUCUACGAAACCUUCCACUUGAGUGACCUGCCCGACUACUCCACCCAUGGCACCAUCCACAUAGUCGUCAACAACCAGAUUGGCUUCACCACUGAUCCCCGAGUGGCACGUUCGUCUCCCUACUGCACGGAUGUUGCUCGUGUGGUCAAUGCACCCAUCUUUCAUGUGAAUGCUGAUGAUCCUGAAGCUGUCGUGCAUGUGUCUACGGUGGCUGCUGAGUGGCGCAGUCGCUACGGGAAGGAUUGCGUCAUUGACCUGGUGGGCUACCGACGCAAUGGCCACAACGAGGUGGACGAACCCAUGUUCACGCAGCCACUCAUGUAUACCAAAAUCCGCAAGCAGUCAACCCUCCUCGACAUCUACUCUCGCAAGUUACUCGACGAAGGCGUUGUCUCUGAGAAGGAGAUUGAGGAGGAAAAGGAGCGGUACGAAAGCAUCCUGUCAGAGGCCUACAAGAACGCUGAGAAAGAGGACAAGUCCUACAACCGGGACUGGCUUGAUUCACCCUGGAGUGGUUUCUUUGGGGAGCGGGAUCCCAUCAAGUGUGACCCGACGGGUGUGUCUGAAGACGUCCUGCAACACAUAGGCACGGCGUUCAGCUCGCCCCCGCCGGGCAACUUCAAGAUCCACGCAGGCCUGCGGCGUAUCCUCAAGGCACGCGCUGAGAUGGUUGAGCAGAAGACGGUCGACUGGGCCCUGGGCGAAGCCAUGGCCUUUGGCUCCCUGCUCAAGGAAGGCAUCCAUGUGCGCCUCAGCGGGCAGGAUGUUGAACGGGGCACGUUCAGUCACCGGCAUCAUGUGCUGCACAACCAGACGAUCGACAAGACGACCUACCGACCCCUGUGUCACCUUUGGCCAGACCAGGCACCCUACACCGUCUGCAACAGCUCCCUAUCCGAGUAUGGCGUACUUGGCUUUGAGCUGGGAUUCUCGAUGACCAACCCCAAUGCGCUGGUAAUGUGGGAGGCCCAAUUUGGGGACUUCAUGAACACAGCCCAGUGCAUCAUCGACCAGUUCAUCAGCAGCGGACAGGCCAAGUGGGUCCGGCAGAGUGGCCUCGUCAUGCUUCUGCCUCAUGGCAUGGAGGGCAUGGGUCCUGAGCACUCAAGUGGCAGGCCUGAACGUUUCCUCCAGCUCUGCAGUGAAGAAUCUGACGUCUUUCCGACCAUCGAUGAGGACUUUCCCACACGUCAGCUGAACGAAAUCAACAUGAUUGUUGCCAACUGCACGACGCCUGCCAACUACUUCCAUGUGUUGCGGAGGCAGAUUGCCUUACCCUUCAGGAAACCACUCAUCCUUCUGACGCCAAAGUCAUUGCUGCGGCAUCCAGAGGCCAAAUCGCACUUCAGUGAAAUGACUGAAGGUACAUCGUUCCUGCGGCUGAUCCCCGAUAGUGGCCCAGCUAAGGACAAUGCAUCGGCCGUGCGCCGCCACCUUUUGUGCUCGGGCAAGGUGUACUACGAACUCACCAAAGAGCGCAGGGCACGCAAUCUCGACUCUGAAGUGGCCAUCACACGUGUCGAGCAGCUCUGCCCGUUCCCGUUUGACCUGGUGAAACAGGAGGUCGACCGGUACCCCAACGCCGAGAUCUCUUGGGUCCAGGAGGAGCACAAGAAUCAGGGCUUCUGGUACUUUGUCCAGCCGCGGCUACAGACUGUGGUUGCCCACCAGAAACCCAUCCAGUACGUGGGCCGUGCUGUCUCUCCAUCAACGGCGACGGGCAGCAAGCACACACACAAGAAAGAGUCUGAGAAGCUCCUCAAUGACAGUUUUGCUUGAGUGUGUUGCGUUAUUUGAAAAUGAGGGAAGAGGAAACUUUAUAUUUAAAUCCAAGCCAAGAUAAGGAAGUGUAUGACAGAGCUGCCGCUGUUGCCCAUUCCUUUUGUAGCCGAGGCCCACAUCUUGAGUGUUUAGAAAAUUGGCCUUAUGUGUUGCCGCAGCUUUAAUGGAUGGCACCAGCACAUCUUGGCAGUUACAGAGGUCUUCACUAGCUCUGUGCACCACAUGCUGUGGAGCAGAUCUGAUAUAAAUGGCCACGUCUACUGCACAGCAGGAUGAACUCUUGUGUACUGUUCAGGCACGAGCACAGCAACC
rnacentral:misc_RNA from 1 species